rnacentral:tRNA from 1 species
GAGAAAGCUUGCGAGGACUGCUAAUCCAUGCCUCCGUACUUAACAAAACGGCUAUCUCA